rnacentral:rRNA from 1 species
UGGAUGAUUGAGAGGGGCUGCUCCUAGUACGAGAGGACCGGAGUGGACGAACCGCUGGUGUUCGGGUUGUAUCGCCAGAUGCAUUGCCCGGUAGCUAAGUUCGGAAUCGAUAACCGCUGAAAGCAUCUAAGCGGGAAGCGAGCCUCAAGAUGAGUCAUCCCUAGACCUUUAAGGUCUCUAAAGGGUUGUUGAAGACUACAACGUUGAUAGGUCAGGUGUGUAAGUGCUGUGAGGCAUUGAGCUAACUGAUACUAAUUGCCCGUGAGGCUUAACCAUACAACACCCAAGGGGUUU